UAGCUUCUUGUGACUUUGGACUCUUUGCUGAGUUAAUUCCCCCAAGCAGACCAGCACGCCAGUUAGAUAAGGGGUAUCACCGGAACCCUCACUUGGACCCAAGCCCCUUAUCAUAACAAGGUCCCCAUUCACAG